rnacentral:rRNA from 1 species
GCCAGACUCCUACGGGAGGCAGCAGUGGGGAAUAUUGCACAAUGGGGGGAACCCUGAUGCAGCGACGCCGCGUGGGUGAAGGAGUACUUCGGUACGUAAAGCCCUAUCAGCAGGAAAGAAAAUGACGGUACCUGACUAAGAAGCCCCGGCUAACUACGUGCCAGCAGCCGCGGUAAUACGGAGGAUGCGAGCGUUAUCCGGAUUUAUUGGGUUUAAAGGGUGCGUAGGCGGUCCGGAAAGUCAGCGGUAAAAGCCCGGGGCCCACCCCCGGCGAGCCGUUGAAACUGUCGGACUAGAGACGGCGAGAAGUACGCGGAAUGCGCGGUGUAGCGGUGAAAUGCAUAGAUAUCGCGCAGAACUCCGAUUGCGAAGGCAGCGUACCGGCGCCGGACUGACGCUGAGGCACGAAAGCGUGGGUAUCGAACAGGAUUAGAUACCCGCGUA